rnacentral:rRNA from 1 species
UACAGAGGUCCCAAGCGUUGUUCGGAUUCAUUGGGCGUAAAGGGUGCGUAGGUGGCGCUGUAAGUCGGGUGUGAAAUUUCGGAGCUUAACUCCGAAACUGCAUUCGAUACUGCGGUGCUCGAGGACUGGAGAGGAGACUGGAAUUCAUGGUGUAGCAGCGAAAUGCGUAGAGAUCAUGAGGAAGACCAGUGGCGAAGGCGGGUCUCUGGACAGUUCCUGACACUGAGGCACGAAGGCCAGGGGAGCAAACGGG